UGCGCAGACGGUCUCUUAAGUCGGGUGUGAAAUCCCCGGGCUCAACCUGGGAAUUGCAUUCGAGACUGAAAGGCUAGGGUGCGGAAGAGGGAAGCGGAAUUUCCGGUGUAGCGGUGAAAUGCGUAGAUAUCGGAAGGAACAUCAGUGGCGAAAGCGGCUUCCUGGUCCAGCACCGACGUUCAGGCACGAAAGCGUGGGGAGCAAACAGGAUUAGAUACCCUGGUAGUCCACGCCAUAAACGAUGAGAACUAGACGUUGAGAGGGUUAGCCUCCCAGUGUCGCAGCUAACGCGAUAAGUUCUCCGCCUGGGGAGUACGGCCGCAAGGUUGAA
rnacentral:rRNA from 1 species